UGGGGAAUUUUCCGCAAUGGGCGAAAGCCUGACGGAGCAAUACCGCGUGAGGGAAGACGGCUUUUGGGUUGUAAACCUCUUUUCUCUGGGAAGAAGAUCUGACGGUACCAGAGGAAUCAGCAUCGGCUAACUCCGUGCCAGCAGCCGCGGUAAUACGGAGGAUGCAAGCGUUAUCCGGAAUUAUUGGGCGUAAAGGGUCCGCAGGUGGUUAAUCAAGUCUGUUGUCAAAGCGUGGAGCUUAACUCCAUACAGGCAAUGGAAACUGAUUAACUAGAGUACAGUAGGGGUUGCGGGAAUUCCCAGUGUAGCGGUGAAAUGCGUAGAUAUUGGGAAGAACACCAGCGGCGAAAGCGCGCAACUGGACUGAGACUGACACUGAGGGACGAAAGCUAGGGGAGCG
rnacentral:rRNA from 1 species